rnacentral:ncRNA from 1 species
AUCCCGCACAUAUCCGGGUCAUGAUAUGUACCUCCCUGUUGGACUUGGCCGGGCUUCGCGCCCGGCCCUUUUU